rnacentral:rRNA from 1 species
AUACGGAGGAUGCAAGCGUUAUCCGGAUUUAUUGGGUUUAAAGGGUGCGUAGGCGGUUUGCUAAGCGGGAGGUGAAAUGCCGGCGCUCAACGUCGGAAGUGCCUCCCGAACUGGUGGACUUGAAUGACUCUGCCGUGGGAGGAAUGUGUAGUGUAGCGGUGAAAUGCUUAGAGAUUACACAGAACACCGAUUGCGAAGGCAUCUCACGAAGGGUUGAUUGACGCUGAGGCACGAAAGCGUGGGGAUCAAACAGGAUUAGAUACCCUGGUAGUCCACGCAGUAAACGAUGAUGGCUAACCGCUGGGCUUAUCAGUUCAGUGGCCAAGCGAAAGCGAUAAGCCAUCCACCUGGGGAGUACGACCGCAAGGUUGAAACUCAAAGGAAUUGACGGGG